AGUGGAAUUGCUGGGUCAUAUGACAGCUCAACCAGUUUUUUGAGGAACCACCAGACUGUUUUCCACAACAGCUGUACCAUUUUGCAAUCCCAGUAGCAGU
rnacentral:pre_miRNA from 1 species